rnacentral:rRNA from 1 species
GACGAACGCUGGCGGCGUGCUUAACACAUGCAAGUCGAACGGAAAGGCCCUGCUUUUGUGGGGUGCUCGAGUGGCGAACGGGUGAGUAACACGUGAGUAACCUGCCUUGACUUUGGGAUAACUUUAGGAAAAUGGGGCUAAUACCGGAUAGGAGCUCCUGCCGCAUGGGGGGGGGUGGAAAGUUUCGGCGGUUGGGGAUGGACUCGCGGCUUAUCAGCUUGUUGGUGGGGUAGUGGCUUACCAAGGCUUUGACGGGUAGCCGGCCUGAGAGGGUGACCGGCCACAUUGGGACUGAGAUACGGCCCAGACUCCUACGGGAGGCAGCAGUGGGGAAUAUUGCACAAUGGGCGGAAGCCUGAUGCAGCAACGCCGCGUGCGGGAUGACGGCCUUCGGGUUGUAAACCGCUUUCGCCUGUGACGAAGCGUGAGUGACGGUAAUGGGUAAAGAAGCACCGGCUAACUACGUG